ensembl:lincRNA Gm12295 predicted gene 12295
UUUCUGCACAACAACACGGCUGAAGGACGGCUUGGUGGAGGCAGACUCCGUUUCCUAAGGGCUUAUCCCAAGUUAGAGUUCAGAGGGAAGGGAAUAGAACGCGACUUGUCCACCAAACAAAAUAUGCGUGUUACUACAGUUGUAUGUAGUGGUCAGGCAAAAAGAAAAUCAGAACUUCCAAAGCUGGAGUGUCAGGUGGUUGUGAACUACUCAACCUGGUUCCUGGGAACCAAACUCAGGUCCUCCGCCAAAGGAGCACAUGCACUUAGCCACUGAGUCAUCUCUGAAGUCCCAGAAACCUCUGAAUGCCCAGGUGACAAGACCAAGGCUGAGAGACUAGGAAAGGGCUAAGAAUCUGAGUCACUGGCUGAGCAAACUACAGGUCAAUGGUGGACCUUCUCAAAAGCAAUACAUAAAUGAUCGAGGAACAAAAGCAUCACAUCAUCAACUUUUGCCCUCCACAACUGCCUACAGAGUAUAGAGAUUAAGUUCUUCACAACUCCUCACCUGCCUAGUUGAUCAGCCCAGCCAUUCUUUCCAUUUAUCUUCUGCAAUCAAGAGAAACUCUU